rnacentral:snRNA from 1 species
AUGACGCGCCCGAGCCAAGUCGG